rnacentral:tRNA from 1 species
CGGUAUCCUGGGUGAAGGGGGUACCGCCGUGGCGUUCCUGGCGCUGUCAGCUCCGGCCCUCGCUCUGAUCGGGGGGCUGGCGG